UUAGUUUUACCCUACUGAUGCC
rnacentral:siRNA from 1 species